GACGAACGCUGGCGGCGUGCCUAAUACAUGCAAGUCGAACGCAGUGGGGACGGGUGAGGAACACGUGGGUAACCUCCUAUCAGAGGGGAUAACACUUGGAAACAGGUGCGAAAGCGAUACUGAAGGAUGGACACGCGGUGCAUUAGCCAGUUGGUGAUGUAACGGCUCACCAAGGCCACGAUGCAUAGCCUACCUGAGAGGGUGCUCGUCCACACUGGGACUGAGACACGGCCCAGUCUGCUACUGGUGGCAGCAGUAGGUAAUCUUCGGCAAUGGACGAAAGUCUGACCUAGCAACUCCGCGUGAGUGAAGAAGGUUUUCCGAUCGUAAAGCUCUGUUGUUAGUGAAGCGGUAUCUAACCAGAAUGCCACGGCUAACUACGUGCCAGCCGCCGCGGUAAUAC
rnacentral:rRNA from 1 species